rnacentral:lncRNA from 1 species
GAUCAUCGAUUCGGAAUCUCGAUCAUCAAGAACAACUUGAUAGGAUAAGUGCUCCUAUCCUAUUAAUAGGAUAGUAGCAUUAGCCUAUAUAUAUAUAUAUUAUAUAUAUAUAUAUAUAUAUAUAUAUAUAUAUAUAUAUAUAUAUAUAUAUAUAUAGUUGGACUGGGCUACUAUUAGUAGCAAAAUCUCAUUGUUGUUACCAGUUUUUUAGCCUUUGGAUCAACUCUUUUCAUUAUUUCUAACCAUUGGAUUAAAUACUAUAACCCAGUAGGGACCACUCAACCCUAGGGGGACCACUCAACUCUAACCGACUAAUAUCAUUCUGACCCUACUGUUGGACCAAUCCGGUGCGGACAGUUGGCAUACCGAGUUCAUAUCCAUGUUCAGGAUUCGAAACGUUGGACCGGGAGCACGGAAAAAAUGCGCUAAGAGAUAUGAGCCGCGUUUGAUAAAAAACGUGGCAACCGCAAGCGGUUAUGAGCGGUUCCAAACGGCGGUUUCAAUCGGCCGAACGUGGUCCUCCAAAUCCGGAGAAGAUGGCCGAUCGUGCAAUAACAACAAAUGAACGCAAGGGCAAAUCUAUAAAUAGGCCUGUAGUACCCUGAAAACGGGUCUUCGUCCCUGCGCACAAAAGACCACCUUUAUUUUCCUGCAUCUUUCUUUCCUGCAUUUAUCGCUUUUUCCUAGCAGUAGUUCCUGUAACUUAGCCUCCUUGGAGUCUGUCUGCCCUCCAGGCAUCACUUCAUUGUAAACACCUCGGAGUCUGUCUGCCCUCCGGGAAUCACUUCCUUGUACACCUCGGAGUCUGUCUGCCCUCCGGGCAUCACUCCCUUUUUAUUAAUAGAAAGUCAUUUCGGCUCUUCCUGCCGAUCAGAUCUCGUGUUGUUCUAGCCAUUUGGCUCAUCACUCAGCCGAGAUAUAGGCUUCCCCUGUUUAUUCGGCCCAUCCUGCCGAAGCGAAUUUACUGUGGAGGUUUUCGAACCCGGCUGAUUCGAUCCCUCAUAGACCGAAUCGCUUGAUCCUCUGUGGGCGCAUACUUCGAGGGUCAUCAUCCGUAGCCGCUCAUCAUCCCGGCGCUCCUCCCGAGGAGGAUAUCUGACCGGGUCAAGGGUCGGGACUUUAGGCAGCGCAACAAUUUCUUGGCACGCCCGGUGGGACAUUCAGUUGAGGUAAAUUUGAAUUUCACUUUAUAUAUAUAAAUUAUGGCUGACGACAACGCCAUGAAUCUCCGUAAUAGGACCAUUCCCAGAAAUUCUGAGAGUGAACAGCCCAGUAAUUCGGAGAACGCUGUGGAGCGCCAAGCAGUUUUACCGGCGGAAGGUGAAACUAGCGGUCAAUCCGGCCAACAGGAGCCUAGUUUGACCCAAGCACUUGGCCAAAUGACUAGGGUCCUACAGACUUUGGACCAAAAUAGUCAUGCAAGUACCGCACGGCUGGAUGCCGUUUUGGCCGCAAUCACGGCCUCUAACAAAAACAUAGCCUGAAUAGGGCAGUUGUUAGCUCGAAACGAGCUCGAAACGAACAGCCGAUAGCAGGCCUUCAAGCGCCUGUGGUAACACCAGUGUUACAGAAUCCAGUAACACCGGUAGUUGGGCAGCUCCAAUACCAGGGGGCAUAGUAUCAAGCGGCUUAUAGAUCGGCCGUUGGUAACGCCGGUCAACAGCCGGAAAUGGCUUGGGGAUUACCUCCACCCCCUCCAAUUGCAACCUACCAGCCUCAAAAUGUAGAGGCUAGGGGGCAGGUCCCGAAUGCACAAGGGGUUAAUCCCCUAGGGCAGAAUAUUGGGAUUCAACAACCAUUGAACCCAAUACCAGCGCAAGCCCCCUUGCCGGGGAUUAACAACGAAAUAUAUGCGCAAAUAGAAGAAGCGAUCCGAAACACUUUCGGAGUAGGCACAAGGCCGGCAAUGCGGCCUGUAUUCAGAUCACCAUAUCCUGCUAAUAUAGAUGUAGAACACCCAUAUCAGGCAAAUUGGAAGAUGCCGAAAUUUGAUAAAUUUUCUGGGGAUGAGACCGAAAAUACGGUCGAACAUGUCGCUCGAUUUACAGCCCAAUGCCGCGAAGCAGCGGCAGAUCCUUUUUUGAAAUUAAGAUUAUUUAAUACUUCACUGACUAAGACAGCCUUCACUUGGUAUACAAGUUUACCUGCUAAUUCCGUCCGAGACUAGGACGAAUUAGAGGGUAAGUUUCAUGAGCAAUUUUAUAGAACUGAGCCUGAGUUAUCAGUUGCAGACUUGGCUCAAUUUAGACAAAAAACGGGAGAAUCGGUUGAUGAAUAUUUAAACUGAUUCAAGACGGCUCGAAGCUGAUGUUUUGUGAGGAUGCCGGAAUCAGAAUUUGCCAAAAUGACAUUUAACGGCAUGCAUUUUAAGAUUAAGGAUCAUUUUGAGGAUAAGUUCUUUCCAAAUCUUUUUGAUUUGGGAGUUCGAGUUGCUCAGUAUGAGCAGUUUCGAAAAGGCAAUAAUGAGGAUCGGCCUAGAUGGAGCCGAAACAAAGAUUUGAAUAAAGGGAAAGAGAAAAAUAUUUCUUUCUUCGAAGAAUCCUCGGCUCAUGAGGAGCCGAAUUCAUCUGAGGAGGCAGAAGAUUCGGCUGACGAAGCCGAAAUUUGUGCUGCUGAGAUGGUGAGGAAUAAUCAACCAUACAAAUGUGCUUUGCUAAAACCUGCAAAGUCAAGAGAAGCAAAAGCACAUGUAUCUGCUUUUAGUUAUUCUUUUGAUAUAUCCAAAACCGAUUUUAUUUUUGAUCGGUUAUUAAAAGACGGACGAAUUAAACUACAGGAAGGCCAAACUAUACCUCCUGUAGAAGAGUUGAAACGCAGAAGAUACUGCAAAUGGCACCAUUCAUGGAGCCAUAAAACUAGUGAAUGCACUGCCUUUAAGAGGCAAAUUCAAAAAGAAAUAAAUGAGGGUCGGCUGAUCUUUGCCGACCAAGAAAACAAAGAUAUGGAAAUUGAUAAGAAUCCUUUUCCAUCACAGGUCAACACCGUGAACAUGAAAGGGAAAGGGAAAGCGACUGCAAAAAGGCAGAUCCAAGAGGAAAUAGAAGAGGGUCGGCUCAUAUUGGCCGACCAAGAAAAUGAAAGUCGAAUAAUUAACAAAACUUCAUUUCCAUUUCAGGUCAAUAUGGUGAACAUCAAAGGAAAGGAAGUUUUUGACAAGGAGACCGCUGACAACGUGGCUCACGCCAAGAAACACCUUCGGCUAUGCAUCAGGUGCAAGGCCGAAAUGACUAAAAAAGACUGGGAAGCUAUCGUGAACGCCAAGAAAAGGGGGAACGAAUGGAACGAACUGAUGGCGUUCCCUGAAGAUUGGGAUGAUAUUCCCGAUGGUGAAGAUCAAGAAGAAGAAGGCUCGGAUGCAGCCUCUAAUGACACUGAGCCGGAAGUAAAUUCGGUUCAACGCAAGAAAGACAUGAUGAUGCAGAAGAUUCUGCAUGACUACUACAACAAUAGGCGUGGAGAACGUCAUGGCCGAUGGGACUUCCAGGACAGACCUUUCGGCUCCAAGCAGAGGUUUCCUGGGUAUAGGCCACAUUGGCAACAACAAGCCAGGCCGAGACCAGAACCGGAAUUUGAAGGAAUGACCGAGGGAGACAUAGAAUUCCUCGGUCGAAGGUUAGUCAAUGAGCUCGGCAUUCAACCUUGGCCGAGACCGUGGGAACGAAGAGAAAUUCUAAAAAACCAUUUAAAAACGGUGAAGGUACCGGCGAAUGUGCCAGUAGAUGAAUGGCACGACGUUGAAGUUAAACCAUCGGCCAGAUGGCAUGGGCCGAUGUUAACAAAAACUCAGAAACGCCGGCAACAGAGGAUGCAAGUCGAAGCGAGACAACAUUAUGAGGAGGCGAAAGGGAUAAGGCUCAAUGUUUGGAGGCGCCCUGAUGAGCAGUCCCGCCCUUUUCGUCCAAUGAGAAAUGAUCACGAGGCAGGCGGCUCAUCAUCCGCCCCCCAGUUGAAGUCAAGAAUCCCCCAGUUGAAGUCAAGAAUAGAACGGCCAAUCGAGGCCGAGUCAGAAGAUAAGAUGAUCAGGAGGGAGUUAGAAGAAAAAAUAGCUUCCCUCGAAACUAUGAUAAAAAAAAAGAGAUGGCCUCCGAAAAAAAGGGAGGUCCGGAUGGAAAGUGAUUCUUCUGUCGAAACAACAAAGGAGUCGGAGGAGAAGAAACAAAGAACCAAAGAAAAAUCAGCCGAAGAAUCGCCGGCUGAAGUGAAUAUGGUACAUGCUCUGCCUCAAUCCUUUAAGGCAGAGUUUAUUGAGUAUGAAGAAUUUAGAGAGGAGGAGGAAGAUGGGCUUAGAGUAGCCCAAUUGCAAUUAGAAGAUGUUCGACCGGCCAACGCAGUGGUUUUUGAGAAACCAUCGGCCAUGCAGAUGAGGUUUAUAAGACCUCUUUUUAUAAAAGCUUUGAUUGAAGGUCGGCCGGUAGGCCGAGUGAUGGUGGACGGCGGUGCCAUGGUCAACGUAAUGCCUACUUCUUUCUUUAAGAAGUUGGGCAAAGAUGAGGACGAGUUGAAGCCUACCGAUUCGAUCAUGACUGAUUUCACAGGAAACGGUCAACAAGCCCGAGGAGUGCUCACCACCGAACUUACGGUAGGCUCGAAAACUUUAAAAACUGCAUUUUUUGUGGUGGAUGCAGAUAGCCACUACAACUUACUACUCGGGCGUGACUGGAUCCAUGCGAAUGAGUGUGUGCCCUCUACACUCCAUGGAAAACUGUUCCAGUGGAUAGGAGACAAGGUAGAAGAGGUCCGGGCCGAAGGACGGCCUCAAAUGAUAGACGUCAACAUGGAGGACAUCGGCCAUGCCAAUUGGGCCGAUGCUGAUCCAGAUCAGAUUUCAUUUGUGAGAGUAACAGAGGAGGGAAUUCAAUUAAUUCUCUCUAAAGAUAUCAAUGAUAUGGUGGCUAUUGAAGAGCCACCAAGAUGGUUAAAAUGGAGUCCCAAAAAUCAGGAAUAGAGGCUUGACACAAGCCUCAACAAGAUGAGCCGAUCAACAAGAUUGGCUAUGAGGAUAACUCGGUUGCCAAAGCCGAUGUGUUGGCACCUGAUAAUUCGGCCAAUAAGGCCGAGAAGGUCAUAAAAGACUCGGUUCAUAAAGCCGAGAAAGAAGGUCAAGCGAAAUCGGUCAAGAAGACCGACGAAUCAUAUGAGAUGAAUAGGCAAGCAGUGGAAAUGAAAUUAGAAGAAUCGCCUAUUAAAGCCGACGAGAAAAGCCUGGAAACCCAGGAUUUGUUGACAGAAGUUAACCUGGGGUCUUGUGAAGACAACAGGCCGACGUUUAUAAGUUCCAAGUUGCCGGCUCAGCAACAGGAAGAAUUAAAGAAGCUGUUGAAGGAGUACAAAGAUUGUUUCGCCUGGAGCUAUGAAGAAAUGCCGGGUUUAAGUCGAGAGAUUGUAGAGCAUCGGCUGCCUAUCAAAAAAGGGUUUAAGCCUUUUAAACAACCGGCUCGUAGGUUUGAGCCGAAUAUUGUACUUCAGAUUAAAAAUGAAAUUGAAAAUCUUUUAAAGGCCGGAUUUAUUAGAGCGGCCCGUUAUGUUGAUUGGGUGUCUAAUAUAGUUCCAGUACGUAAAAAGAAUGGUAAACUUAGAGUUUGUAUCGAUUUGAGGAACUUAAAUUUAGCUACACCUAAAGACGAAUAUCCAAUGCCUAUAGCCGAUAUGUUAGUAGAUUCGGCUGCUGGUAAUGAAAUUCUGUCCUUCAUGGAUAGACAUGAUGGCUAUAAUCAAAUUUAUAUUGCUGAGGAGGAUGUGGCUAAAACGGCUUUUAGAUGCCCCGGUUCAAUUGGAACCUUUGAAUGGGUCGUUAUGCCGUUCGGCUUAAAGAAUGCCGGAGCUACUUACCAAGGAGCCAUGAAUUUUAUUUUCCACGAUUUAAUCGGCAAGAUGUUGGAAGUCUAUAUCGAUGAUAUAGUUAUCAAAUCCAAGUCGCAGGCCGAACAUUGGAUCGAUUUAAAACUUGCUUUUGAGAGAAUGAGAAAAUACAAUUUAAAAAUGAAUCCUUUGAAAUGCGCCUUUGAGGUUUCUGCAGGAAAUUUCUUAGGGUUUUUUGUGCAUAAAAAAGGGAUUGAAAUUGAUAAGAAUAAAGCAAGAGCAAUAUUAGAGUUACCGCCACCCAAAUGCAAAAAGGAAUUACAGAGUUUGUUUGGGAAGGUUAAUUAUCUUCGGUGGUUUAUAUCUAACUUAGCCGGAAGAAUCGGGGUUUUUACUCCAUUACUUCGGCUGAAAGAUAAGGAAGAAUUUGUUUGGGCAGAGGAACAGCAGGAGGCGUUUGAAAAUAUAAAAAGAUACUUAUCAAAUCCUCCGGUAUUGGUACCUCCAAAGCCGAAUCAGCCGAUGAAGUUAUAUAUAUCGGCUGCAGAUGAAAACUUGGGGUGCUUGCUGGCUCAAGAAAAUGAAGAGAAGGAAGAGCAAGCCAUUUAUUACCUAAGCCGACGUCUGCUAGAUACAGAAAAAUGGUACUCGGCUAUAGAAAAAUUAUGUUUGGCUUUAUAUUAUGCAUGCACAAAAUUGAGAUAUUAUAUUUUGUCAACUGAAGUAUCGGUAAUAUGCAAGACCGAUUUGAUAAAAUAUAUGUUGUCUAAACCAGUGCUACGAGGACGUAUUGGGAAAUGGAUACUGGCUUUAUCUGAAUUCUCCCUUAAUUAUGUUCCUGCCAAAGCUGUCAAAGGCCAAGCUAUAGCUGAUUUUUUGGCCGACCACCCAUGCGUAGAGAUUGAGGAGCCGAGACAGAAUUUGGUUGGCUUCCAACCAUGGAUAUUAUAUUUUGACGGUUCAAAAACAGCCGAAUUUGCAGGAGCAGAGAUAGUGAUAAAAUCACCUGAAGGUUAUAUUUGUCAAUUUGCAUUUGAAUUGGAUUUCGGCUAUUCCAACAACCAAGCCGAAUAUGAGGCCUUGAUAAUCGGCCUUGAAAUACUGCAAGAAUUAAGAGUUAAGUCAAUCAAAGUCAUCGGUGAUUCACAGUUAGUGAUCAAGCAGGUUAACGGAGAAUACCGAUGUGAAAAUCCGAAUUUGCAAAAUUAUUUGAGGAAGACGUUAGAAUUAUUAUGCAAUUUCGGAGAAGCCGAACUUGAACACUUGGGUAGACAGGAAAAUGAAAAGGCCAAUGAGUUGGCCCAGUCGGCUUCAGGAUACAGAGAACCGAAAUCAGAAUCAAUAAUGAUACAGAGAAGGUUAUUACCUUCGGUUCACGUACGAGAACCGAUUAUAGCUUCUAUAACGAUACAGGAAGAUUGGAGAAAAUCAUUAAUCGAAUAUUUGAAGGACCCCAAUACAAGGGUUGAUUAUAAUAUUCGGAGAAGAGCUCUCGGCUAUUAUUUGUUGGAUGGUCAACUUUAUAAAAGAACAGCCGAAGAAAUUCUCUUAAAAUGCUUAGGGCCUGAAGAAGCUCUAUUGAUAAUAGGAGAAACACAUGAAGGGAUAUGUAGAACCCAUCUGGCAGGUAAAAAGUUAAGAUGGAUAAUUCGGCACCUAGGAUAUUAUUGGCCGACUAUGCAUCAAGAUUGCAUAGAAUAUGCUAAGGGAUGCCAAGAAUGUCAAUUUCAUGGCCCAAUUCAGAGAGUUCCUGCCUCAGAGUUAUACGCGAUAAUUAAACCUUGGCCGUUUCGAGGUUGGGCCAUAGAUUUAAUUGGGGAAAUACAACCGAACUCCUCGGCUGGUCAUAAAUUUCUGAUAGUAGCUAUAGAUUAUUUUACCAAGUAGGUGGAAGCCAAACCUACUCGGUUGGUUACUCAAAAGAAAAUUAUCGAUUUUGUGGAAGAUCAUAUAAUUCAUCGUUUCGGAAUCCCCGAGACAAUUACAACCGAUCAAGGAACAAUGUUUACAGGAGGACAGUUCGUUCGGUUUAGUGAGUCUCGAAAGAUAAAGUUGCUUCAUUCAUCUCCUUAUUAUGCUCAAGCGAAUGGACAAGUAGAAGCAGCAAAUAAGAUAGUCAUCAACCUUAUGAAACGACAUAUCAGAAAGCAUCCAAGAAAAUGGAACGAAAAGCUUUCCGAAGUAUUAUGGUCAUGCCGAACUUCAGUUAAAACGGCAACAGGGAUGACACCAUUCCAGUUAGUCUACGGCCAUGAAGCCGUAAUUCCAGCCGAAAUAACAGUUCCCUCUUUAAGGAUAGAAAAACAAAAAGAUCUUUCGGCUGAUGAAUAUGGUCAGUUAAUGAAAGACAAAAAGGAAGAAUUGAUAGAUACUCGGCUGAUAGCUUUAGAUAAUAUGCAAGCUUACCAGAGCCGAGUACGUAAUGCAUACAAUAAAAAAGUUCGAUCGAAAAGAUUUGUUAUCGGUGAAUUAGUACUUCGACUAGUUUUUCCAAUCGGUCAGAAAGACCGAAUAUAUGGGAAAUGGUCCCCAAAUUGGGAAGGACCAUUCCAGGUUAGCCGAGUUGCAAGAGGGAAUGCGUAUUACUUACAGAACAGAGAUGGAUCAGAAAAUGAUAAACCAAUUAACGGAAAGUAUUUAAAGAAAUAUUAUCCAUCCAUAUGGGAAAAUGAUCGAAGUCAGAAUUAAAAUAUUACAAGCCGAAUCAAGAUAAUAAGUCUCUAAGUUGAUUCCAUUCGGCUAUAAGAUUGGCUUGGGCAGUCUCAGCAGCUUUCCUUCUGCGCUUCAUCAAAGGAUGUACUUGGUAAAGUUGAGACAAUUCUUCUUUAAGCCUUAUCCCUUCUUCUUUUCUGAGCUUCAGCUGAUUCUGCAACUGGAGUCGGCGAUCAGAGGUUUGUGCUAGAGUGGAUUCGGCUGCAGCCAAUUCUUCUUUCAGAGUGGAAAUCCUUUUUUGCAGAGCCGAUUCUUGAUCAGCCAACUCCCUAUCUUCUUGAUGCACUUCAGCCAUUGGAGAUGCUAUGUCAGGGAUAUUUUUCUUAGAAUGAUCAACGCGAUGAAAAUGUUGGUCUAAAGUUACAAGUUCGGCGCCUAAAGAUUGCUGCCGAGCCAAAAAAGAUGAAAGUUGGAGUGAUAAGGUUGAUACAAAAUAUUUGAUACCAGGGGAAAAUCUGAUCGAGUCGGCUAAAUCGAGUAAAAAGGCGUAUAGCCGAUCAAAUUGCUCUGGUAUUUUGAGGCAAACUCGGAAUUUCGGUGCAAAUAUUUUAAGACAUUCAUCGAACUUGUUCUGGUGUCCGAUGAAAUGGUCACGAUCGAAGAAUCAUCCCCCUCAUUGGAGCUAGGGCUUGAAAUCAAAAGAAUGAAGAUUUGUAGAUAAGGAUUCAUCAGGUUACGGGAAGAAACUCCCUGGGACGAACGGGGAGAAAUAGUGACUUUGUCUUCAGAGGUUCGCUCGGAGGUGUCUUUUCGUUCAUCGCUCUGAGUUUGAUGUUGGCACUGACGAAUGAAAAGAGGUGGCGAAACCUCACUUGGCAACGGCGCCGCGCUCGCUGUUUUGAUAGACCUUUCUUCUUUUUCCAUCUACCUCUCUUUUCUCAAGUGAACUCACAACGAAGUUGCCUUUCCAUCUGCAUCUUCGAAUAAUGCAAAAGGGGCUCGCUCAGGAGAAGACUGUAGUAAAAGAAAACUAUAAAUAAUUAAGAAAUGUUGUCUUGUAUGGCUAAUUAAUUCGGCUUACCCAACAUCAAUUGGUUUGGCUGAGAUAAGGGGAUUGCCGAGUAACCGAAAGACGUGUGAUAGUUUCUUGCGUUGGAAUGUCAGCCGAAGGAACGUCUUCGCUCUGUCUUUAGCGUUUCAACCGAAGGGUACUUUCGGCUUGUUAAAUUUUCUUCUUGGCCACUGAUUUCGCCCGUUUGAGGACGGCGGAGGAGCAACCUGAACAACUUCGAUGUAUUUCUUUUGCCUGAAGUUGGGACUGAUGAGAGAACAGGAACUGACUGAAAAUAGAAACAAACAUAGUGAUGAUAAAGAAAAAGACGAUGAUUAAGAUGAGUAAGGAAGUGAUAUUUACAGAGGAAGGAGGCGAGGAUUCAGCAGCUUCUUUGACUUUUCUUUCAGAUACAGAUGUUUCAGGCAGGACUAUCCGACGCGGGUCUUGCUUGGAAAGGGGACUGCGAGUGAGAAGCAGAUAAGUAUAAUAAUGAAGAUUGAAGAGUAAAAGUUAAAUAAAAAUAACAUACCAAUGGGAUGACGAGUUUUGUAAUUGUGCAGCGAAAUAACGGAAAGGAAAGGUUUCUCGAGAAAAGAAUCCCAGUUAGCAUUGUAGCGGAAACCCAUUAUACCGGAUAAAUUGGUUUAAAACUAGUCAAUUUGAAAAUCGCCGGAGACGGUUUCCCAUGGCUGAAAUUCCGAUUCGGCGUCGGCCGUUGCUUUUGGUAGGCGAGGCGAUGAACGGCAGUAUUUGCCGUAAAAAUUUUGCGGAGCAGGACUUGCUUGGUAAAUCCAAAUUGACGUGCCAGAACUGUGGGGAAGUAAACUCGGUGCUUGGCAACAGCUUCGAGCGUGUUUUUUAGCCAACAUGUAGAUCCGAGGGGCCAAUAAAGAAUACAAACAUCAAAUAUGUUCACUAUGGCACAGAGAAGCAAUUCAUCUUGAAGGACUCAUAUCUGGCCAAAACCAAGGAGGGCCAGUGAGUCUAUCAGCAAAAGGAGACCAAAAAACAAGAGAUGAGGACUGGAAUCAUAAAAACAAGAAUAAAGUAAGAAAAUAAAGAGGAUGUCCCGAUGUGAAUGGUAGAGGACAACAAGAGCAAGCCCGUAGGAGUCAAAAUGGGCAACUGAAUCUAUGUUUAGAGUUCUUUACAUAAUUUUCGAAAAUAAAUUUGCCAAAAACAUCUGCAAAAACCAGAAGACGCCGCAGCCUGACUAAUGGUUACACCAUCCUCAGAGGGUGACGGCUUAAGCGGAAUCAAAAAUCUCUCUAUAGACAAAAGUAAGUGAAAUAUGGCCCCAAGGCCAAUUUAUCGCCGUUAGCUAAAACAACGCGAUUGAACAAAAUUCUCGAUAAAUUUUCUACAGAUGAGUACAGAAAAGAUUAUGGCACAGCCAAUAUAGAGGAAGGCUGUGUGUUCUUUUCUGGUGACGCGAGUAAAAGGUUCACCAGCAAAUUCUUAAGAAAUUUAGAGUAAGGCCAAUUCAUUGAGCAUCAAGGUGGGCCUCAAAUAUCAGACACGCCAUCAGGAUUGUAGGCCAUGGAGGAGUGACGCCAUGGGGGCAUAAACCUACGAUGGCGGCAACAUCGAAAAGAGUCGGAGUAAGAGGCCUCCUCUGAAGAAAAAAUGUUGGAGGCAGGGGACCAAAACAGAGAGCUGAGCUAAUAGAAGGUGAUCAGCCACGGGAGGUUUCUUAGAUAAUUGAUGGCUUCGAAAUUCCGAUCUCUUUCCAAAAAUCAACAUAAGCAGAUGUGAUUCGAGCAGCCAAGAUAAAUAGCAUCUGAAGUACUUCGGCCAAGUCCUAAGACUUCUCCUGUCGAUGCGAGGGGUACGAAUGCAGAUGAAUAGCAUUAGCCAGUAAUGGAAGACCUUUACUAGAAAAAGGGAAUCCAAGGAUUUGGAUCCUGGUAAUAAGAAGGCCCAACAAUGAGCCGAGUAGGGUCCAAAGAAAAGAUAUGGUUUGAGCAAAGUAUAAUCCAGCGAAGGACGAGUAGCAAAUGGUGGAAAAAGUGCCACUGUUGGAAACGAAAAAUAUACAAGAAGAACGUAAAAGACAAAGAGGAGAAAAAGAGAAAAGAUAGAAGAGACAAAAAGAAACUUAGAAGAAACAAAAAGAAACUUAGGAGGAAACCUGUGGGCCACGGUCACACCAGUUAUGAGUUUCGAGGUCGGCCAUAAUGAUGAAUGGACGGGCAGUAAUUAAGAUGACUAAUUAAUGCCGCAUAUGAACAAAAUUGAGAAUGUGAUCAAGGCUGUGGAGAAGAGAACCAACGGCCAAGUUUAAAACCGUAAAAGAUUGUGUCCACGAAUCGCUGCAGAUCUUGAUUGGACCGAGAAAACACGCCUCGGAUCAAGCUUGCUUCGGAAAUAGGAAAUUGAAGAGGCGCCAGCUACUGAAGAGUCCCUUCGAAAGCUGCCGAGGGGGCAAUUGUUGGACCAAUCCGCGCGGACAGUUGGCACACAGGUUCAUAUCCAUUUUCAGGAUUCGAAACGUUGGACCGGGAGCAGGAAAAAUGCGCUAAAGAUAUGAGCCACGUUUUUCAAAAACGUGGCAACCGCAAGCGGUUAUGAGCUGUUCCAAACCGACGGUGUCAAUCGACGAACGUGGUCCUCCAAAAUCGGAGAAGAUGGCCGAUCGUGCAAUAACAACAAAUGAACGCAAGGGCAAAUCUAUAAAUAUGGCCUGCAGUACCUGAAAACGGGUCUUCGCCCCUGGCGCACAAAAGACGCACCUUUAUUUCCUGCAUCUUUCUUUCCUGCAUUUAUCGCUUUUUCCUAGAGUGUUCCUGUAACUUAGCUCCUUGGAGUCUGUCUGCCUCCGGCAUCACUUCAUUGUAAACACCUCGGAGUCUGUCUGCCUCCGGGCAUCACUCCUUGUACACCUCGGAGUUAGUCUGUCCCUCCGGGCAUCACUCCCUUUUAUUAAGAAAGUCAUUUCGGCUCUUCCUGCCGAUCAGAUCUCUGUGUUGUUUUAGCCAUUCGGCUCAUCCUCAGCCGAGAUAUAGGCUUCCCCUGUUUAUUUGGCUCAUCUGCCGAAGGCGAAUUUACUGUGGAGGUUUUCGAACCCGGCUGAUUCGAUCCCUCAUCGUCGAGAUCGCUUGAUCCUUGUGGGCGCAUACUCGAGGUCAUCAUCCGCAGCCGCUCAUUAUCCCGGCGCUCCUCCUCGAGAGGAUAUCUGACCGGUCAAGGGUCGGGACUUUAGCAGCGCAACACACCUACAAAUUUUCAUCCAAGGGUUAAAAACUUGAUAGCAAAAGAGCGUUUACUAUUAUAUGUAUUCCAGCCUAAUUAUAUAUUAUAUAUAUAUAUAUAUAUUCGUAUAUAUAUAUAUAUACUUAUGCUAUAUAUUAUAUAUACUAUAUAAUUAUAUUAUAUAUUUAUAUGUAUAUAUCAUACAUUAUAUGUUAUGUAUUAUAUAUACAUAUGUAUAUAUAUAAUAUACAUAUGUAUUAAAUAUAUACAUAAUAUAUGUAAUAUGUAUAGUAUUAUAUAUAUAUAUGUAUAUAUAUAUAUAUAUAUAUAUUCAUAUAUUAAUUUUUUAUAUGUAUAAUAUAUAUACAUAUGUAUAUAUAUAUAUACAUACAUAUAUGUAUGUAUAUACAUAUAUAUAUAUAUAUAUAUAUAUAUACAUAUAUGUAUAUAUAUAUAAUAUAUAAACCAAUCCUUCGCCUUCCUUCCACAUAUAACGUCUAAUUUAACCCUAUCUAAAUCGUAAAUCUAAAAACCCAUCCAAAUGGCCCAACCCUUUGCUUUCCCUCCGCAUAUAACGUCUAAUUAAUGUGUCCACCCAUUUUAACCCUAAUAUAAUCGUAAACCAUAAAAACUCACGCAAAAGCCCCAUUAUCUUCUAUGCAUGUUAAUAAAUUACAACCUCCUUCAUUUAGCAAGAGGUGUGGGAUCCAUUUUCUUUUUUUUUUCUUUUUUUUAAAUUCCUAAUUUUGAUGUAUUAUCCUCUUCUCAU